UACGGAGGGUGCAAGCAUUAAUCGGAUUUAUUGGGCGUAAAGGGCGCGUAGGCUGGUUUGUAAGUCAGAUGUGAAAUGCCGGGGCUCAACCUCGGAACAGCAUUUGAAACUGCAUACCUAGAGGGUAGGCGGAGAAAACGGAAUUCCACAAGUAGCGGUGAAAUGCGUAGAUAUGUGGAAGAACACCGGUGGCGAAGGCGGUUUUCUAGCUUACUCCUGACGCUGAGGCGCGAAAGCAAGGGGAUCAAACAGGG
rnacentral:rRNA from 1 species